rnacentral:tRNA from 1 species
GCGCGGGUGGCGAAACUGGUAAACGCGCCAUCUUGAGGGGGUGGUGGGCAUUGCCCUUGGAGGUUCAAGUCCUCUCCCGCGCACCA